rnacentral:lncRNA from 10 species
CCCAAAGCGAAACCUCCCCCACUCCUCUUUUCACAGUGGUAAAUCAGUAUAAAGCCCACUGCAGAAAUUUGUGUGGAACUAGAAAUUUAGCUGGAAAUGUACCACAAUAUACCAGUCUUUCUUUUCUAUACUCAUGGCCCCUUUCUUAGUUUAGGCCCUUGAAGAUAAUGCUUGGACAAUUACCUCCUAAAUUAUUUUCUUGCCAGUAAUUUAUCUUUUCCCCAGCACCACGGCCAAAUCACAGCUCUGAGUGGGGAACCACAUUUGAACAGACUAGUCCCUUCUGCCUUCUGGGCAGGUCACAUCUGAAAGAUUAUCCUCUUUGAAUCAGUUUGAAUGUUCUAGUGACCAGGCCACACAGUUUCUCUUGACAUUUAAAAAUAAAGCUUCCAGUCUUGUCACUAAUGGAUUUGGGGUCCAGUACCCUUAAAAUCACCUCAGAGCUGCCUGAAUCCAUAGACUACUUGCAGAAUCACUGGUUUUACUUGGAUCAAGCCAUCUGAGAAGUUUGGCUGAAAUAAAAACUCAAAGCCCCCACAAUAUUGAACCACCAUUCCAGACCCAGCCAAGGUUUGGAACAUAAAGUGAGCUGAAUGAAUCAGCCUGCAGGCAACCCAGAGAAAGUAAUUGUUCAUCCUAGCAGCACGGCUGCUUUUCUGCUUAGCAUCUGAACAAGUUAAUUUGGAAACACAGCCUUCUGGAAAGAAAUGGCGCUUCUCUCAGCAUCCCAUGGAUUCAUGAGCUUGACCAGUCUGUAUUUGACCUUCCAUCACCAAUUAAUUAAAAAACAAAAGCAG